CUUUCACGAGACAUCACGGAGACAUUUCUCCGUUAUGGGAACGAUAUUCAAUCCUGCCGUGAGAGAGGCUACGAGCAGCCUGUACAAAUAGUAUCUUCCUGCAC